rnacentral:rRNA from 1 species
CCCUUAGAUGUUCUGGGCCGCACACGCGCUACACUGGCAGGUUCAUCGAGCUUCAUGCCCUGAUCUGAGAAGAACGGGAAAUCUUUGAACACCUGCCGUGCUUGGGAUAGAUGUUUGCAAUUAUUCAUCUUCAACGAGGAUUGCCUUGUAAGCGCACGUCAUCAGCGUGCAUUGAAUACGACCCUGUAUUCUGUACACACCGCCCGUCGCUCCUACCGAUUGAAGUUUUCGGUGAAUUUACUGGAGAUCCCUUUUGAAGGUGGUUCGCCACUGGAAGAAGUAUUCAAAAGUAAAUGAAUCGAAUGCUUUAGAGGAAGGAGAAGCCGUAACA